UAUUAUACCAGUGAUACAUUAAUGAGCCUGGAUUAUUAGUAGGUAUAUUCUUAAAAUUCAAAGAAUUUGGCGGUAGUUUAGUCUCGUUAGAGGAACCUGUUUUUGAAUCGAUACACCACGUGUAAUUUUACUCGUUUUAUUUAGCUUAUAUACCGUCAUUGGCAGAUAAUUUUUAAAAAAUUAAUUAUUAGGAUUUAAGAAUUUGAUUAAGCUAAAUUAGAUCAAGGUGUAGCCUAUAAACGAGUUAAAAUGGGUUACAAUAAAAUUUAUUUAUAACGGAGCGGCUAUAAGAAAGGAUGCUGCAGAAGGAGGAUUUAAUUGUAAUGUAAGUUUAACAAGCUAAAAAGAUAUAAGCUCUAAAUUAU
rnacentral:rRNA from 1 species